GACGAACGCUGGCGGCGUGCUUAACACAUGCAAGUCGAACGGAAAGGCCCUGCUUGCAGGGUACUCGAGUGGCGAACGGGUGAGUAACACGUGGGUGAUCUGCCCUGCACUUCAGGAUAAGCCUGGGAAACUGGGUCUAAUACCGGAUAGGAGCCAUUUUUAGUGUGAUGGUUGGAAAGUUUUUUCGGUGUAGGAUGAGCUCGCGGCCUAUCAGCUUGUUGGUGGGGUAAUGGCCUACCAAGGCGGCGACGGGUAGCCGGCCUGAGAGGGUGGACGGCCACAUUGGGACUGAGAUACGGCCCAGACUCCUACGGGAGGCAGCAGCGGGGAAUAUUGCACAAUGGGCGCAAGCCUGAUGCAGCGACGCCGCGUGGGGGAUGACGGCCUUCGGGUUGUAAACUCCUUUCGCUAGGGACGAAGCUUUUUGUGACGGUACCUAGAUAAGAAGCACCGGCUAACUACGUG
rnacentral:rRNA from 1 species